ACAGCGAGACGGGCGGUGGGGCGGAGCCGAGGCCCAGGAACGGAGGUGGAGGAGCAGACCCGGGCGACGCGGCCCGCGAGCGAGAGGGUCGUCCGGGUCAGUCCAGCGCAACUCGGGUCACCAGUCCCAGGGCCCUGGUCCCCUUAUUGGAUCUAUGUCUGGGUUUGCUGAAGCACCCGCUGGGCCCAGGACUGCAGAGACGCCCCUACCCAGGCUGUGCCCCGGGUGGAGGGGGACAGGGGGAAUGGCUUCAUCGCGGGGUUCGGGGCAGGACAGCUCAGGACCUGCGGAGAUACUGGAUGGUGUAGGAUCCCAGGCCAAAGGUGGCGCACCCUGAGAUCAGCAGCCCAGCUCCCUGCAGCCUUGAGGAGGGCGCUGCCUGCGUCUUUGGGAGCCUCAGCUUCCCCUCCGGUUCCGGGCCUUGGAGUGCUGGUCUGCAGCUGCGGCCUGGCUCUGUGCCCGGCCUGACCCUCGUUCACACUGCACACCCCUGGAGGCAGGACAGAAAGUGUGCACAGCGAAGACCCUGACACCCUACUGGUUGAUGAUCCAAAUCCCGAGGUCCCUCUCAGAGUCCGGUGAGAUCCAGAGCCAGCUAGAGGAAGAAAGUGGCCGCGUCAGCUCCCGAAAGGCCGUCUGGGUGAGGUUGAAAGGAAAAGCCAACAGGAGUUCCCAUCGUGGGGCUUCGGAAACAAUCCGACCAGGAACCAUGAGGUUGCGGUUUCCAUCCCUGGCCUGGCUCAGUGGAUUAAGGAUCCGGUGUCUCUGUGGCUAUGGUGUAGGCCGGCAGCCGUAGCUCCCAUUCGACCAGUAGGCUCUCGGGUCCACCUCCUCUCCCCGUGGUCCUGUGCUGCCUCUUCCUACCCUGCUCCUCAGCAGCUCAGUGCAACUCUCCUGUCCCCCGCAUCCUCCCUGGUCGCACGCAGAGAGCAUCUGUGCAAAGACAACAGACGCGGCCACCCAGACCCUUUAGCUCACAGAGGAUGCCCUGAACGGACUCCCAGGGAGCCUACAGAAGACCACGGACUUGAGAAGGCACUGUGAACUGCUUGGUAGCAUCUGCAAGAUGGGGUUUGGUUUCAGGUCUGUGUCCUGCCCGCCACCCUCAGGCCCCGGUGGGCUCAGGAGGGCCUUGGGCACAGCCCGAGGGGCCUCGACCCUCAUACAGUGCAGAGCAAAGUCAGAGAUGGGUGGAGGCAGCUGCUGCUCCGGGUGGGAGCUGAUGACAUCCCGCCUGUCGUGUAGACAUUUGAGUUAACUGGCCCUGGGGUUGCCAAUAAUCUCAGUCAGGUCGAAGCCUCCACUCGGAGACGUUUGGGGCAGAAACCUGCUGAUUUACCCCUUGUUUUAACUCUUGGGGAACAAGGGGAUUGCUGACCGCUCCCACUGGCAGGGAGCAGGGAGUGGAAAGAGAACAGCCCUCGAGGGAGAGGCCAAGGAGCCCGUCUGCUCUGGCUCUGCACCGUCCAGCACAGUGGCCUCAGCCUGUCCCAACUGCGAUGUGCGAAUGUGCACAAGAAACACCUGAUUUCAAAGACGUUGAAAAAAAUGCCAAAUAUCUUUCUAAUAAUUUUAUAUUGAUUGCCUCUGGAAAUUAUGUUUUAGAUGUGUUAAGGUAAAUAAAAUAUAUUAUUAAAUUU
rnacentral:lncRNA from 1 species